GGGGGUAUAGCUCAGUUGGUAGAGUGCUUGUUUAGCAUGCAUAAGGCCCUGGGUUCAAUCCCCAGUACCACAC
rnacentral:tRNA from 1 species